CAUUUCAAUAUUAUGAAUGAACACGUAUGCGGCCACUUUCAUUUAAGCCGGAAACCAUCUAAAAUUUAACUAAAAUGCUAAAAUUGUGAAGAUUUCAGUAAUUUAGCAUGACUUAAUGAUGUUAGUACCCGAUAUAUGUGAAUUAUUGUGUCAAAAACAGCCCAUAUUUGUGUAGCAGAAUCAUUCUUCUUUCCAAUAAAUAGCUAAAAGAUUAAAUUUUCACAAUUUUGUCAAACUGCUAU
rnacentral:lncRNA from 1 species